rnacentral:rRNA from 1 species
GAUGAACGCUGGCGGCGUGCCUAAUACAUGCAAGUCGAGCGAAUGGAUUAAGAGCUUGCUCUUAUGAAGUUAGCGGCGGACGGGUGAGUAACACGUGGGUAACCUGCCCAUAAGACUGGGAUAACUCCGGGAAACCGGGGCUAAUACCGGAUAACAUUUUGAGCCGCAUGGUUCGAAAUUGAAAGGCGGCUUCGGCUGUCACUUAUGGAUGGACCCGCGUCGCAUUAGCUAGUUGGUGAGGUAACGGCUCACCAAGGCAACGAUGCGUAGCCGACCUGAGAGAGUAAUCGGCCACACUGGGACUGAGACACUGCCCAGACUCCUACGGGCGGCAGCAGUAGGGAAUCUUCCGCAAUGGACGAAAGUCUGACGGAGCAACGCCGCGUGAGUGAUGAAGGCUUUCGGGUCGUAAAACUCUGUUGUUAGGGAAGAACAAGUGCUAGUUGAAUAAGCUGGCACCUUGACGGUACCUAACCAGAAAGCCACGGCUAACUACGUGCCAGCCGCCGCUGUAA